CCACACCCAUGUAGGACAGGUCCGUCUCUCGAAAAGAAGAUUGGCGUCUGCAUCGUGAUGAGACCACAGCUGCUAGUUCACUUCCCUGCCAUAAGAAUAUCCAACUACAGGUAGGACUGAUGCUGGAGUGUUGGUAAAACAGCCGAACAUCCCAAAACAACUAACACGGUCCUCUAUCAACUUAGUGUUGUAGAGCCAAAAUUGUCUAGGACGUGAAUGUUACUCUACACCAAAAGCGAUUAGCAUUUUUCGGGGCCGGGCCAUCAGUUCAAUUGUCGUCAUAUGUGUAAGGUGUUGGCCGUUGGGGCGAAUGGAAUUGUUCGAAGAAUUCCUCAACCCGUCGGAAUGCUGAUGGACAACUUUAUGGCCCGCAAGAAAAAUCAUGACGUGAAGGACUUUUCCCCUCCCCAUUCAGUGAGAUUGACUAUGGUCAUCGGCUGAUCGGCAGCUUACAUCUACGUCUUCUGAGAAUGGGCGCAAUCAUCACAAUCAAACCGCCGGUACGACGGCAAUUGACGUUGCACUACGACGCCAAAUGGUUGGACGUUGCCGUGCGAUCGGUGGAAAUAACGGACCACUUUGUCUUUUUCCGAGAUUCGGUCGUCGGUAUUGCAUUGGCUGCCAAUUUUUUAGCUUUCGUUCUAGAGGAAUUCAACUGUAUUCAGUGACGACAUUCCGAAAUGGAAAGAUAACGGGUCGUGUCAAUGCAUUACUGACCAACGUUCUGCCACAUGCUGUGCCGAUCGCAUUUCUUUGAGUCAUCAC